rnacentral:ncRNA from 1 species
AUUGUCUACUGAAAUAAAGACAUGAAGGAGGAUUUAGUAGUAAAUUAAGAAGAGAGAGCUUAAUUGAAAUAGGCAAUAGGGUGCGUACACACCGCCCGUCACCCUCCUCGAUAAAGUAACCUUCAAUACCUAAUUAGAAUAUGUCAAAAAGAGGAGAAAAGUUGUAACAUGGUAAGUGUACUGGAAAGUGCACUUGGACAAUCAAAAUG